UGGGGAAUCUUGGACAAUGGGCGCAAGCCUGAUCCAGCCAUGCCGCGUGAGUGAAGAAGGCCUUAGGGUUGUAAAACUCUUUCGCCGGAGAAGAUAAUGACGGUAUCCGGAGAAGAAGCCCCGGCUAACUUCGUGCCAGCAGCCGCGGUAAUACGAAGGGGGCUAGCGUUGUUCGGAAUUACUGGGCGUAAAGCGCACGUAGGCGGGUUUGUAAGUAGGGGGUGAAAUCCCAGGGCUCAACCCUGGAACU
rnacentral:rRNA from 1 species